rnacentral:rRNA from 1 species
AUUGAACGCUGGCGGCAUGCUUUACACAUGCAAGUCGAACGGUAACAGGCCGCAAGGUGCUGACGAGUGGCGAACGGGUGAGUAAUGCAUCGGAACGUGCCCAGUCGUGGGGGAUAACGCAGCGAAAGCUGUGCUAAUACCGCAUACGAUCUAUGGAUGAAAGCGGGGGACCGUAAGGCCCCGCGCGAUUGGAGCGGCCGAUGUCAGAUUAGGUAGUUGGUGGGGUAAAGGCCUACCAAGCCGACGAUCUGUAGCUGGUCUGAGAGGACGACCAGCCACACUGGGACUGAGACACGGCCCAGACUCCUACGGGAGGCAGCAGUGGGGAAUUUUGGACAAUGGGCGCAAGCCUGAUCCAGCAAUGCCGCGUGCAGGAAGAAGGCCUUCGGGUUGUAAACUGCUUUUGUACGGAACGAAACGGUCUGGGUUAAUACCCCGGGCUAAUGACGGUACCGUAAGAAUAAGCACCGGCUAACUACGUGCCAGCCGCCGCGGUAACAC